rnacentral:rRNA from 1 species
GACGGAAGGUGCAAGCGUUGCUCGGAAUCACUGGGCGUAAAGGGUGCGUAGGCGGCCGCGCAAGUCUGGCGUGAAAGCCCCGGGCUCAGCCCGGGAAGGGGCGCUCGAAACGGCGCGGCUCGAGUGCCGGAGGGGAGAGUGGAAUUCCUGGUGUAGCGGUGAAAUGCGCAGAUAUCAGGAGGAACACCGGUGGCGAAGGCGGGUCUCUGGGCCGAUACUGACGCUGAGGAGCGAAAGCGUGGGGAGCGAACAGG